UACGUAGGUCCCGAGCGUUAUCCGGAUUUAUUGGGCGUAAAGCGAGCGCAGGCGGUUAGAUAAGUCUGAAGUGAAAGGCUGGGGCUUAACCAUAGUAUGCUUUGGAAACUGUUUAACUUGAGUGCAGUAGGGGAGAGGGGAAUGCCAUGUGUAGCGGUGAAAUGCGUAGAUAUAUGGAGGAACACCGGUGGCGAAAGCGGCUCUCUAGUCUGUAACUGACACUGAGGCUCGAAAGCGUGGGGAGCAAACAGG
rnacentral:rRNA from 1 species